UACGAGGGGGCAAGCGUUGUUCGGAAUUACUGGGCGUAAAGCGCACGUAGGCGGCUCUUUAAGUCGGGGGUGAAAUCCUGGAGCUCAACUCCAGAACUGCCUUCGAUACUGUAGAGCUUGAGUUCGGGAGAGGUGAGUGGAACUGCGAGUGUAGAGGUGAAAUUCGUAGAUAUUCGCAAGAACACCAGUGGCGAAGGCGGCUCACUGGCCCGAUACUGACGCUGAGGUGCGAAAGCGUGGGGAGCGAACAGG
rnacentral:rRNA from 1 species